CCCUUCCCAUUCCUUACCGCCGCGCGCAGUCAGUCUCUUCCCUAUUUCAACUCAUACGAGUAUGGCGCUGGGAGCUUCCCUCCAAGAUCCCCAACCCUCUCCUCCAGCAAUGCCCAGCCCUUCUCUGCCUUUCUUGCUGGUGCCCUCUCCCUUCCUUUGCCCUGCUCCUUGGCUGAAGAUGGUGCCGAUGCGUUCACAGCAUCGGCGAGGUAUGUGUAGUCUAGGCUCGCUAUAGUGGCUCGGCAGAUCCAACCGUGGCCGCUGCGGAUCCGGGUGGAGGCGGCCUGGCGGUGCAGACAAAGCUAUCGGACGGCUAGCCAAGGGUAGUGCUCUGCUCCAAGCAGAUGUGGCCAUCCCAGUCCGAGAUUGUCUGAUGGUUUCAGAAAGUGGGAGAUGCGAGGUAGCAGACUAUAAGCAUCAAGCUGAUCCAAAUUAAAGGUUGAUGGAUGCCGAUUAUGGAUGCGAAAUUAAAUGUUGAUGGAUGCCGAUUCUAGAUUUGCUGAUUUUGGAUCUAGAUGGUAUUUUGUGAUAUUCUAAUGUUCUAUGGUUUUAGAGAUCAAUAAAUGUAAUAUUCUAUGAUAUUGGUUGUGUUGUUAGAAUGCAUAUUUGGGAAUGAAAUAGGGCUUUUUGGCUUGGGCUCGUCAAAUAA